rnacentral:rRNA from 1 species
UUCAUUGCUCCUGGAGCACUGUGUGCAACAGAGGGUUUGAUCAUGGCUCAGAUUGAACGCCAUGGGAUGCUUUACACAUAAUGAACGGCAGCACGGACUUGGUCUGGUGGCGAGUGGAAGUGAACGGUGAGUAAUACAUCGGAAUCGCCUAGAUAACUACGCGAAAGCGCAGCCAAUACCGCAUACGCCCUUCGGGGGAAAGCGGGGACCUUCGGGCCUCGCACUAUUAGAGCGGCCGACAUCGACGAGGCUGGAAGCAGGGUAACGGCUCACCGGUUGGCGAUCAAGAUCCGUAGCUGGUUUGAGAGGACGACCAGCCACACUGGGACUGAGACACGGCCCAGACUCCUACGCAUGGAGGCAGCAGCGGGAAUUUUGGACAAUGGGGAAACCCUGAUCCAGCCAUCCCGGCGUGCGAGCGCGAAGGCCUUCGGGUUGUAAAGUACCUCGCAGGAAAGAACGGCACGGGAUACCCCGUGCAACUGACGGUACCGGUGGUGAAUAAGCACCAUAAUCAUGCCACAGCAGCCGCGGUAAUACGUAGGCGCCGUUAAUCGAACUACUGGCAAAGGCGCAGGGCGGCUCCGGAAAAAGAUGUGAAAUCCCAGAGCUUAAUUCGGAACUGCAUUUUUUAACUACCGAGCUAGAGUGUAUUGAGGGAGGUGAAUCGCGCAGUGCGGAAAUGCGGAGGAACACCGACGGCGAAGGCAGCCUCCGGGAGUAAUAACACUGACGCUCAUACUCUAAAGCGUGGGGAGCAAACAGGAUUAGAUACUCCCGGUAGUCCACGCCCUAAACGAUGUCAACUAGCUGUUGGGGCCUUCGGUCUUUAAGGCAGCUAACGCGUGAAGUUGACCGCCUGGGGAGUACGGUCGCAAGAUUAAAACUCAAAGGAAUUGACGGGGACUCGCACAAGCGGUGGAUGAUGGGAUUAAUUCGAUGCAACGCGAAAACCUUACCUACCCUUGACAUGUCUGGAAUCCCGAAGAGAUUUGGGAGUGCCUGCAAGAGAACCGGAACACAGGUGCUGUAAGGCUGUCGUCAGCUCGUGUCGUGAGAUGUUGGGUUAAGUCCCGCAACGAGCGCAACCCUUGUCAUUAGUUGCUACGAAAGGGCACUCUAAUGAGACUGCCGGUGACAAACCGGAGGAAGGGGAUGACGCUGGAGUCCUCAUGGACUUUAUGGUAGGGUCGUUAUCGUCAUACAAUGGUCGGGACAGAGGGUCGCUAACCCGCGAGGGAGCCAAUCCCAGAAACCCGAUCGUAGUCCGGAUCGCAGUCUGCAAACUCGACUGCGUGAAGUCGGAAUCGCAGACCGUGGAUCACAUGUCGCGGUGAAUAUGCCCCGGCCUUGUAACACCGCCCGUCACACCAUGGGAGUGGGUUUACCAGAAGUAGAAAGCGCAGCCUUCCAACUGCAAGGGCGAUUACCACGGUAGGAUUCAUGACUGGGUGAAGUCGUAACAAGGUAG